CCACAAAGGCCCCUUCCGUCUUCCCUCUGGCUUCCGGAUGUGUGGACACUGGCUCCAUGAUGACUCUGGGCUGCCUGGUCAAGGGCUACUUCCCCGAGCCUGUGACCGUGACAUGGAACUCAGGGUCCCUGACCAGCGGAGUGCACACUUUCCCAGCCAGUCUACAGUCGGACCUAUACUCACUCACCAGCAUGGUAACUCUGCCCUCCGGCCAGAAGAGGGCCACCUGCAAUGUAGCCCACCCGGCCAGCAGCACCAAGGUGGACAAGAUUGUUGAUGGUGGGGAUACCAGCAACUCCCACUGUACCCCCUGUCCCGUGUGCCCAACUAUUGAACUCUUGGGAGGACCAUCUGUCUUCAUCUUUCCCCCAAAGCCCAAGGACACACUCAUGAUCUCCCUGACCCCCAAGAUCACGUGUGUUGUAGUAGAUGUGAGCCAGGAAGAUUCUGAGGUUCAGUUCACCUGGUACGUGGAUGACACGCAGGUGAACACAGCUGAGCCACAGUCCCGGGAAGAGCAGUUCAAUGGCACAUUUCGCAUGGUCAGUGUCCUCCCAAUCCUGCAUCAGGACUGGCUGAAUGGCAAAGAGUUCACAUGCAAGGUCAACAGCAAAGUCCUCCCAGCCCCUAUCCAGAAGACGAUCUCCAAAGUCAAAGGGAAUCCCAAGGAGCCACAGGUGUAUGUCUUGCCCCCACCCCAAGAGGAGCUGUCCAAAGAAAAAGUCAGUUUGACCUGCCUGGUCAAGGGCUUCUACCCUACUGACAUCGAUGUGGAGUGGCACACCGACACACCUUCAGACUACAAGGUCACCCCGCCUGUGUUGGACACUGAUGGGACCUACUUCCUCUACAGCAAGCUCACUGCAAACAAGAGUGAAUGGGAGCAGGGAAGAUCCUUUACUUGCUCUGUGGUACAUGAAGCCCUGCACAACCACAUCACGCAGAAGGCCAUCUCCCGGUCUCCGGGUAAAUGAGUGCUGUGCGGUCAUCCCUCUCUAACCUUCAGGCUCUUGAGUCCUAAAGGACCCUGUCCCCCAACACCCUUGUAAAUAAAGCACCCAGCACUGCCUGGGACC